CGGGGUAGGGGCAGGAGGGUGGGAUGAGGAAGAGGGCGAGAGCACGAAGCCAGUUUAGUCUGUUUCAGGCCAUCUGUAACCCGCUCUUGCUGCCUGCGCCUUUCUUCUGGGCAUGCAGGGUAAUGGAUAGGACUUGGCAUUCAGCAAACAGUGAAUGAAUGAAUGCAUCUCAGUGGCAAAACUGUUGUGUUUGAAUCUUCUCAACUCGAUUUCUUUGUCACUGGGCACCAUAAUAAAACCAGAGUGUCGCAGGAUAUUAGCUCCUGAAAGCCAAAGGCUGCUGCCAGCAUUUCUCUAGCUCUGAGAAGUGGAGCUUGGCAUCAGCCUGUGAAAGUGGGCUGGCCUAAUUCUUGAAAUACAAAAUAAAGCUAGUUCAUAUUAACACAACUUCUUUGCCAGCAGUUUUUCCCCUGGGAGCUUGCGAUGUCUGACUGGUGGUCGUGGAUAAAUUCCCCAAUGAAGGCUCGCCUACUGCAGGGAUCACCCUGGGCUGAGCUUACCUGCCAAGGAAGGCAGCCGGACCGAAGGCCCCUACUUGGCCUCUACCUGGAGAGGACAGGAAUGUGGCUCAGUCUCGGAUUGGGUCUCUGGGGACGUGCCCCUCUCGUCCCCUCCCCGAGGCUGACCUCGGCAGUUCCUGGCGGAGAUCUUAAUGUCGACUCAGAGGCACGUUUCCCUCUGCGGCUUUCCGGCUGAGUGAGCCUCUCAAAGGAAGGUACAUAUCUGCCCUAUCAGAUUGGGAAAAAAAAGCUCGAUUUUUUUUUUCAUGCAAAACCAUGAUAGAAUGUUUAUUUUUUGUUUAAGUUUGCAGGUUUGUCUCCAUCUUUGUCCCAGAAUAAGGUAGACGAAUGGCCUGUGAGGGAGCCUCGUGCAGACUGGGCCGGCUGGUGCUACAGAUGCUGUUAGUUGGGUUCAAAGCUGUCACUGAGGUCUCUCCUCAGAGAGCAGCAGAUCCCUCUAGCUGCAGGUGUGCAACAGGACAGAUACCAUUCACUGCUUCCAUUCUUCACUCACUCUGCCAAAGAGGUUGUGCCACCCACCCCUGGACCUGCUGCUGCCUUCUGUGCUGCUGCUGGCUACACUGCAACUCCUCUUGCUCCACGGCUUCCUGCAUGGUACAGUCCACCCACUUUUGGGUUCACAGAUGGAUGAUCUCUUGGGUUUCCUGGUAUGAUGUGCAGAGGUACUCUUUUUUGGUUAGUUAUAGAUGUCUGAUUAAUUAUAAAUCAAAGGGGAGAGAAUGCUGACAUCACUCUCAGUAAUAACUUUAAAUGUAAGUGGAUCAAACUCUUCAAUCAAAAGAUAGUGUCAGAAACAAACAAACAAACAAAAUAAUCCAACUAGAUACUGUACUUUAGAUCCAAAGACAGAAACAGGUUAAAAGUGAAAGGACCAAAAAAAAAAAAAAAGUGAAAGGACAGAAAAGGAUACUCUGUGCAAACAGUAACCAAAGACAGCAGGGGCAGCUAUAAUAAUAUCAGACAAAAUAGAAUUAUUUAAAUCAAAAAAGGUUACAAAAGACAAUGAAGGAUAUUAUAUAUUAAUAAAAGAUUCAAUAGAACAAGAAAAUAAAACAAUUAUAAACAUCAUUAAUGUAUCUAAUAACAGGACAUCAAAAUACGUAAAGCAAAAAAAUGACAGAAGAAACAGACAGUUUUAAAAUAAUAGUUGGAAAAUUCAAUAUCUCAUUCUCCAGAAUGGAUAGAAAAGAUAGGUAGAAGAUAAGUACAAAAAUAGAGGACUUAUGAUGGACUUCCCUCGUGGUGCAGUGGUUAAGAAUCUGCCUGCCAAUGCAGGGGACACAGGUUCAAUCCCUGGUCUGGGAAGAUCCCACAUGCUGCGGAACAACUAAGCCUGCAUGCCACAACUACCGAGCCUGCACUCUAGAGCCCACGCACCACAACUACUGAGCCCAUGCACCACAACUACUGAAGCCUGCGUGCCCUAGAGCCUGUGUGCUGCAACUACUGAGCCCAUAUGCCUCAACUACUGAAGCCCACGCGCCCUAGAGCUUGUGUGCCACAACUACUGAGCCCACAUGCCUCAACUACUGAAGCCUGUGCGCUCUAGGGCCUGCAUGCUGCAACUACUGAAGCCCAUGCAGCUAGAGCCUGUGCUUCACAAUAAGAGAAGCCACUGCAGUGAGAAGCCUGUGCACGACAAUGAAGAGUAGCCCCUGCUUGCCGCAACUAGAGAAAGCCCGCGUGCAGCAACAAAGACCCAAUGCAGCCAAAAAAAAAAAAAAGACAAA